rnacentral:tRNA from 1 species
GGGUGUGUGGCUCAGUGGUAGAGCUCUUGCCUAGUAUGUACAAGACCCUGGGUUCAAUCCCCAACAUACUAA